UUAAAACUUUUAACAACGGAUCUCUUGGUUCUGGCAUCGAUGAAGAACGCAGCGAAAUGCGAUAAGUAAUGUGAAUUGCAGAAUUCAGUGAAUCAUCGAAUCUUUGAACGCAGCGAAAUGCGAUAAGUAAUGUGAAUUGCAGAAUUCAGUGAAUCAUCGAAUCUUUGAACGCACAUUGCGCCCCCUGGUAUUCCGGGGGGCAUGCCUGUUCGAGCGUCAUUU
rnacentral:rRNA from 1 species